rnacentral:lncRNA from 1 species
CGCCCAGCGGAUGCGCUCCGGCGCCGCCCAGUGCACGGUGCCCAGGUUGUGCUGCUGUUGCUGCUGCUGGGUGUCUGACCCGCCGAUCGAUCGAUUGGUGCCGGUGCCGGUGCCGGUACCGCCGAUGCGCAUCGACGAGAGGCCAAAGUCGCUCACCUUGGUCUGCCACUUUUCCGUGAUCAAUAUGUUGAGCGACUUGAGGUCGCCGUGGCUGAUGCCCGACGAGUGCAGAAAGUGCAUGCCCUUGGCGGCGUGGUGCGCGAUGGCCACCUUCAACUUGAACGGGAUCUGCACCAGGAGUUCAUUGUCGAGCACGUCGCGCAGCGACCCGAGCGCCAUGUGCUCCAUGACGAUGGCGAGCGCCGGCGGCCGGGUGGACGCGCCCAUGAACAUGACCACGUGCGGGUGGCGCAGGGUGCACAUCACCCUGACCUCCUCGGCAAAGUGGGCCAGCGCGACGCGGUCCCACCCGCGCGCGGACGCGUGGAAGCGCUUAACGGCGACGCGCGUGCCGCGCCACACGCCCUCAAACACCUCGGACGUGGCGCCGGCGCCCAGGCUGCGCACGGUGGCGAUCUCCUCGAUGUCGAUCUCGCAGCCCGAGUCGAGCGCGCGCCGCCGCGCGCCCCGGUGGCGGACGAUCACGAGCACGGCCACCAACAGCACCAAGAUGACGAGGCCGCAGCAGACCGGCACCGCCACGCCGACGGCGACGCCCACGAUGAGCGCCGUCCCCGUGCCGUCGUCCCUCGAUCCGGGUCCCGCAGAGGCAGUGUCGGCCGUUUCGCAGUGGGCGCCCGUCCACCCGGCGUCGCACGAGCACGCGGCGCUCGACCACGUCGUCGCGGGCGCCGUCGACGGUGCCGCGCUCGCGAGGCACUGUCCGUGGUUGGCACACAGGGUGACCCCCACGGCCGGGUCGGCGGCGUCCGGCGGCACAUAGAGGCACGGCGCCACGCCGAGCACGUGGACACGCGCACCGGCCCUCGACAGGCACGUGACAUCGGCGAGCGCCGAGAUGAUGCGCGCAGUGGCGCCUGGACCCGAGGCGCGCGUCGACGUGGCGAGGCCCUGCGCGGUCGCCACCGCCGCGCCGUCGGCCGACGUCUGGGUCCAGUAAAGGGCGUCGACGAGGCCGGCCGCCUUGGCACAGUCGGGCGUCGUCUCGCGGUGCAUGUAGGCGUGGUACCAGCCGAGGAUGGGCCAGGCGCCGGCGGUCGCCGCGCCCACCAUCAUCGUCGGCAGGCCGGCAAAGGGCAGCGUCGCAUUGGCGCGCCGCGCGUGCGUUGCUGUCGAGGAUGGUGUCGCUGUCGAGGAGGAUGAGGAGGAUGAUGGUGAUGACGACCGAGGGACAGUCAAAGGCCCAUAGGCAUCGGCGCGGCGCGCAGGACUGCGGGGCACAAAGUCGGGCAGGACAAAGUCGGCCGUGGCGAGGGCCAGGGCGUCGGCUGUGGGUGACACGCGGUUGCCGGCGGCAUCGCGCAGGUCGGCCAGGCUCGGAUUGCGCGCUGCGAGCGCGGCCUCGACAGCGUCGACGCCCAGCGCAUAGGGCGUGGCCUUGACGGCGGCAGCGACGCCGUCGCCGGCCAAGAGGACGCGCGCGGGCGCCAGCGACUCGAUCGGAUAGACGAUCGAAGCGACGCCGGCCGUCGUCCUGGAACCGUUGAGCACCUGGUCGCAAAAUGCCGCGUCGGCCGCCAUGUAUUCGGCGGCAAAGCGAUUGGCCACGCCGCCGAGCGGACCGCCGGCGCCCGACGCCGACCCGCCCUUGGCCAGCGCGACGACGAUCGGCCGACCGGGCAAGACGGCGGCGAGCAGCGGGUUGGCCGCGACAAUGUCGCCAUGGUUCCACGCGUCGAUCCGGCCCAGGACGAUGCCGGCCAAGAGACCGGCGUCCAGGAGCAGGGGCGCCGUCUCGCGGGCAAUCUCGGGCACGUUGUAGACGGCGGCGUAGGGCCGCACGGCCACGGGCACCGACGUGCAGUCGACGCACGCCGCCGCCAGCACCGGGCCGAGGUCGGUGACGCCGGCCGACGUCACGGCAAAGUCGAUGCCGUACGAGGCCAGGCGCGCGACGGCCUCGUCCUCGCCGUCCUCGGCCAAUUUAAGACGCGCGCCAGAGGUGGCGCCCGCGCGCGACGACGCAUAGGCCUGCAUCCAGCCCGACCACACGAGCGACGUCGUGCCGGCGCCGACGAGGGCGGCCGCGGCGACGCGCGUCGUGCCCAGCGCAUUGUUGGUCACGGCUGCUGUUGCUGCUACUGACGUCGUCCUCUUUGCCACCGGGUAGGGCUCUGUGGUGCCCGAGUUUGUCCGCGGGGUUCCCGAGAACAGAGCAAUGUCAGUCGACGCCGCCGAGGACGUGGCGCAGAGCGAGACGGCGCCCAUCAUGUCAGUGGCGCGCUGGCGAAAGUUGCCCGACAGCGGAACGAGACCGCGCGAGGCCAGCGUGGCCGCCAGCGCGCCGUCGUUGACCGCGAGCCAGGCGAGAAAGUCGAGCGCGGCCUCGGCGUACUGGCAGUCGUAGCCGGCGGGGAGCGCGUCCGUGCGCAGCACCGCCGUGACGAGACCCACGACGGGCCACGUGUUGGGAUCGUCCAGGUCCGACAGGCCCGACACGCCCGUGUCGUAGGGCACGCCGCGCAGGGCGAGCGCGUCAUAGGUGUCCAUGGCCUCGUACGCGGCCGAAGGCGUCCAGCCGAAAAAGAACCGGCCGGCGCGGUUGGUGAGCAUCGGGCGCGCGUACGUGGCCAUCGCCGGAUCGCCCGCCACGGUGUACGCGAUGACGCCGUCGCCCGACGCCAGGGCCGCCGCUGUCGUGGCAAAGAGGCGCGCGCCCGUCGUCGGGUCGUAGACGGGACCGGUGGGCGUCGUCCCGGCGGGCACGACGGCCGACCAGGUCUCGGGGUCGACCACGAGGGUGCGGUUGGCGCCGGCCGUGGCCAGGACGAGCGCGGCGAGGUCGCCCCCGUGGGCGGCGUAGGCCGAGGCAAAGGCGGCGCUGGCCGACGCCAGGGCCUGCGCAAAGGUGGCGCCGAGCGAGGCGGCCUCGGCCUCGAGCGACCCAUAGGCAAAGCGCUCGACGGCGAUGAGGACCUCGCCCGCCGGCAGCAUGUCGGGCGUGGCACCGCUGCCGGCCGCAAAGGCCGGGUCGUCCCAGCGCGCGACGGCGCCCGACCACACGGCGGCAAACAGCGGCAGGCCGUCAAAGAUGACCAUGCUCGGACCGCCGGCGAACGAGUAGACCACCUCGACGCCAUAGGCCGCCACGGGCAACUGCACGCGGCCGGGCAGCGGGCGCGGGACCUGCGCGGCCAAGAGCACGACGUCGCAGCGGCCCGAGUCAUAGUCGGCCAUCGCCGUGGCGGCGUCGGUGUCGAGGCGCCGGACGGCCACGUCGUCCACCGUAAAGACAUAGGCCGACGCCACGACGUCGAGGGUGUCGCCGCCCAGCGCGGCGCCCUCAAACAGCAGGGUCUUGGUGGGCGUCAUGGGCAGGAUCGACAUGUCGUUCGACCGGUCGAGCGGCAGGCACACAGGGUCGGCGGCGGCAGGCGCCGUCGCCAGCGCGAGCAACAGCGCCAGGGCGGCCGCGCACGUCUGGCCGGAGAGAGAUUAUUUUAAAUAAAUAUCCAAACAAAAAAAGAGGAAUAAAAGACGGGGCGCGAAGGGGGCGGAAAGCCGCGCGACGGGAAGAAGGGCGCGCCGUACCCAGAGCGUGCAGCGGCGCAACGGGGAUGUGCGGUCGGAGCGGCGGUGCGCAAAAGUCAUGGCAGGUGUGCGAUGAGUCUGGUGCUGUCUGUCGGCGUCGGCGAUGCAGAUGGUUGCGGGGAUGGCGGCCGUGGUUGUGACAGUGAUGGAUGGCAAUACAGGAAGGCACGUCGAUAUCCUCGCCCGUGUCGGAUUUGGUGUCGCCCAGUGUGCACGGGUUAGAGUGCGAAGGAGAGGGGCCGAGCGGACAAAGGGGGCAAAAAGAGGGCUGUGUGUGCGUCGUCUGAUCCGCCCGUAUGUGCGUACUAUAGAGACACACCACGAGGCCGCGACGACGUAUUUACGGGCCGCACGACGGGGCGAGCGCGCAGGGCUCAACCAAUCGCCACCACUUGCCCAUUUUGGGACUCGCAAAUAGCAUUCGGGCAUGUCGAUUCGAAUCGACGGUUGAAUUGCUACGGUCCCUUUUCACAACAACGUACGGAACUCGAUCGCGGUGUCGGAUCGCGUGGCGGGACACGAUGCCGUUGCCAGACGACGGUGGUCUUGUUCAUUUGCGCACCGUCGGGCGACGGCGUGAUCCGUUCGCGUGCGCGCAAGCGUUGCUCUUGUGCCACCCGCCAAUAUAUUGGCCUGUGCAAAAAAAUGGCGCCUCGCCAGAGCCCUUUUCCAC